rnacentral:rRNA from 1 species
UACGUAGGGGGCAAGCGUUGUCCGGAUUUAUUGGGCGUAAAGAGCGUGUAGGCGGCCAUGUAGGUCCGUUGUGAAAACUCGAGGCUCAACCUCGAGACGCCGAUGGAAACCAUCUGACUAGAGUCCGGAAGAGGAGAGUGGAAUUCCUGGUGUAGCGGUGAAAUGCGCAGAUAUCAGGAAGAACACCCGUGGCGAAGGCGGCUCUCUGGGACGGUACUGACGCUGAGACGCGAAAGCGUGGGGAGCAAACAGG